rnacentral:rRNA from 1 species
AACGUGGGUAACCUGCCUUAUAGUGGGGGAUAGCCUUUCGAAAGGAAGAUUAAUACCGCAUAAGAUUGUAGUAUCGCAUGAUAUAGCAAUUAAAGGAGCAAUCCGCUAUAAGAUGGACCCGCGUCGCAUUAGCUAGUUGGUGAGGUGAUGGCUCACCAAGGCGACGAUGCGUAGCCGACCUGAGAGGGUGAUCGGCCACAUUGGGACUGAGACACGGCCCAGACUCCUACGGGAGGCAGCAUG